rnacentral:rRNA from 1 species
UACGGAGGGAGCUAGCGUUGUUCGGAAUUACUGGGCGUAAAGCGCACGUAGGCGGCUUUGUAAGUUAGAGGUGAAAUCCCAGAGCUCAACUCUGGAACUGCCUUUAAUACUGGGUAUCUCGAGUCCGAGAGAGGUGAGUGGAAUUCCGAGUGUAGAGGUGAAAUUCGUAGAUAUUCGGAGGAACACCAGUGGCGAAGGCGGCUCACUGGCUCGGUACUGACGCUGAGGUGCGAAAGCGUGGGGAGCAAACAGG